rnacentral:rRNA from 1 species
GACGAACGCUGGCGGCGUGCUUAACACAUGCAAGUCGAACGGUGAAGCACCUUCCUUUUGGUGGGUGUGGAUGAGUGGCGAACGGGUGAGUAACACGUGAGUAACCUGCCCCCUUCUUCUGGAUAACCGCAUGAAAGUGUGGCUAAUACGGGAUAUUCUGGGUCUGUCGCAUGGCGGGCCUGGGAAAGAUAUUGUUUCGGUGGGGGAUGGGCUCGCGGUCUAUCAGCUGGUUGGUGGGGUGAUGGCCUACCAAGGCGGUGACGGGUAGCCGGCCUGAGAGGGUGGACGGUCACACUGGGACUGAGACACGGCCCAGACUCCUACGGGAGGCAGCAGUGGGGAAUAUUGCACAAUGGGCGCAAGCCUGAUGCAGCGACGCCGCGUGAGGGAUGGAGGCCUGCGGGUUGUAAACCUCUUUCGCCAGUGAAGCAGGCCUGUCCCUUUUGUGGGUGGGUUGACGGUAGCUGGAUAAGAAGCGCCGGCUAACUACGUG